rnacentral:lncRNA from 1 species
AUUCAUUCAAGAAAAAAUUAUAAUUAAAAAGAAAAGAAGCAUAAAAAAGGAGAAACGAAAUGAGUGUGCUGAUCAAAUAUAUAUUUGUACAUAGCAUGACGCCUACACUGGCAAUAAUUCACAACGGACCUUUCCUAAUCUGGAAAAGAAAUUCUAAAGGAAAUAGAAAUACGUAUAGCACAACAAAUCUAAACACUCGUACGCGUACAUGUAUGUAUAACUCUUCAAAAAGAAAAAUGAAAAUGUUAUGGUUGCUUUUGUUUCUGCGUAUAGAUAUAAUCAAGGUGAGCUUCAAGGGUUCUUCUCAUCAUGCAUUCAUCUUCUCCAAUUCCAUCACAGCUCUUUUGAUCCACAUCUACCAUAUGUUCUUCAUUAU